AUGUAAACCCAGCAAUCCGACCGAAGACUCCUACCUCCUCUCCAAAGUCCGAACGGAAAAACAAAAGAAAAAAAGAAAAGAAAACCUAAGGCUGAAAAAAAAGACAGAGUGAGAGGCGAGAGGCUCAGAGACUUUGCCGCUGCCCACGCCGUGAGUGAAGCUACCAAAACGCUAGUGAAAUCUUGCUGCUGCCCACGCCGUGACGCCGCCACCACGCGAGAGCGGCGAGACCCAUCUGGCAGACCCAUGCGACACCCAUCUCGCCGUGACGCCGCUGCUGGCUUUGAUCUUAAAAGCAAUGCCAGACUUCUAUCAAAUGAUACCUUUUUAAAUACUUUAUGAACAGGCAUUGACUUGCAACUCAGUCUGAUGAGCGCCUACACAUAUGUUUGUGCAAUCAAAGCUCCUGGUUUUGGGGAAAAUAGAAGAGCAAACUUAGAUGAUCUUGCCAUUCUUACCGGGGGAGAGGUUAUCACUGAAGACCGUGGUUUAACCCUUGACAAAGUUCAAUUUGAAAUGCUUGGAACUGCAAAGAAGGUGUCUGUCUCUCUUGAUGACACAAUAAUUCUACAUGGAGGUGGGGAUAAGAAGCUGAUUGAAGAAAGAUGUGCAGAGGCACCUUCAUUCACAAUAGCCUCAAAUGCUGGUUUUGAUGGUGCACUGGUUAUUGGCAAAUUGUUGGAACAAGAUAAUCAUAAUUUGGGUUUUGAUGCUGCUAAAGGUGGAGGAGAGAAUCAUAGAUCCUCUCAAAGUGGUUAGAACAGCUUUAGUCGACGCUGCCAGUUGAAAAUAUUUUAUUAGUAAAGAAGUUGCAUUAUCAAGUACUAGGGACCAGGAUCUGAAUGGUGGCUAUGGCAGUUAUUUUAGCAGGAUUUGCUCCUCUUCACCUCUAAAUCUAUCAAAAGGGCCGCUUUGCAAGCUAUCAGCAAUGACCAAGUUUCUGUUUCCAGCCUUGUAACAGCUGUAUUUACUCAUGAUCUUUGGUUGGAACACUACGAGUGCUAUUGUCAGCUGUUUGAAGAUGUCUAUGCCACUUGCAGAAGGACAACUCUGUUGUUGGUUGGCUUCUCUGCUGGGAGGUGACAAAUGCAAUUUCAAAGUGAACAUUGAGUUGGAGCUUGGAUUUGCCCAGAGUCUGCGCAUUAUCAAGAUGCCUGAAUUGAUGGAGUGCUUGUUGAUCAAUACCACCGUUUGGCUAGGCCACUGGUGAACUCAUGAGAACGAGGUUGCCCCAGAACUCUCAACUGGUUAAGCUUGUUUGCUGCCAAACUGAUUUGUGGGGUGGAUAGAAGAGUCCUGCCGAUCUCUGAGCCUCUACUAUGAGAUUCAAUGUUUUGUGAAUAGCAAAUUAAAUCUUCAAAAUAUUGUCAAUAUUCUUACCUUACAAUUAACAAAAAAAGAAAAAAAAUCUAUUUAAUUUUGAGAUCGCAUUUGAAUAUAUAAUAUAGUUUUUUUU